UUAUAUUUUCUAUACUUACAUUUCACUUCCUCCAUAAAAUAUAUUCUGUUCCUAAUUAUCUAUCAAUUACUCAGCUGGGGACUUAACGAAAUUCAAUUGAGAGUUAUUUCCCCUGCUAUUUACACUUCUGCACAUACAUGUUCCCUUCUUUCUCAAUUCUCUCUAUACCAAGUGCCGUAAUCACCGAAAAGCUUGAUAAACCCUUCUAUGUUCGGCAAUUAGUAGCAGUUCAGCUAGUAGUGUAGUAGUGUAUGAUGUUUCGAGCAUCAUCAGUAAGAAAAGGCUGCAUAAAUGGAUCCUCACACGCCUAAAAAUCAUCAAAUUUAAGUGGUUUAAGGUAGGUUUUCUUGUUCAUAGCUUUUGUAAUAUAAAAUUUAGUAACAAAUGUUGCAUAUGAUAAUUGUGCGAUGAUUGAGUUAUUGAUUGGGCUUGUUGGUUAAGAAGGUUUUAUGCAGGUUAAUUGGAGAGAUAAGGGUGGAAAAUUUUGUGUUUAACCACCUCUAAAAAAAAAAAAAACCCUACGAACUCUGUCCUAAAAAGGAAUGCACAAAUCAUGUUUUUUGAAAUUCCUCUAAGGGAUGUUUAGUUUAAAAAGAAAGAAUCGGGCAAAGAUAUUAUCAAUGAAUGUUAUAUAUAUAUAUAUAUAUAUUGAAGUAGUUUAAAUAGAUUGGGCAAGUUCAGCUAAGUUUAAAAACAGUUUUGUGAAAGAUAAAACAAAUGAAGUUUGGGUGAAAAUUAGUGUGUCAGGCUGCUUUGGGCUAACUGUUUCGGCUAGUUAGACUUGCUGGAAAGCUAUAAUUUUCUGGGGUCUUGUGGUGUGCAAUCCCAGCUAUCCAUAACCUCUAGAACGGGCUCGUUCCGAGUUCAGACGGUCGAGUUAUGACAUGCCAAAGUGGGUGCGUCGAAUCUGUCCAAAAUUUGGAAGUCAGUUUCGAAUCUGUCCCUUGUGCGAAUUUUCUGGAAUUAUGAGUGCUGAAUUUGGAAAAGGUUAUUGAAUAAGAGUUGUAGCCCCAGAAGUUAGCUUCGCGUGGGCGCAAGAAUCGCUCAAAAAUGUUUUAAAACGAAUUAGUUAUGACUAUUUUAGCGAGAGAGGGUAAAGCUGGAAAAAAAUAAUUAAAAACAGUUCCGACCAAACAUUUUUGGGGUUUGUUUUGGACUACCUAUGAUGUCCAAAAUAGGUGGAUUAUAUUUUCUAAAUAUAGCCUAAUAUGGUGUCUAAAAUAUAUCCAAAAUUGGUUGUAAUCGAAGCUAUGAGCUAAAAGAUAUGAAAUUGUAAAGGAGCCAUGUGGCGUAAAGAACUGCUGCCCAUGGCAGCAGCAGUAGCAGAACUCGGCGGAGGCUAGGGGCUCUUUUGAGUUCUCAGUCAACGCUUUUAUAUUACUUGAAUUGUUGAGCUUGUAUUUUUUUAAAAAUAGAUGAGUGUAUUACCUAUAUAAUAUUCAAGAUUCAGCCUAAUCAACUAAUAAAGUGUAAGGUAUAACUUAGUAAAGUGGAGGUUAAGGAAAGGGAGCUGCUGCCUAACGGGUAGCAACGAGGAGCAGAUUUGGCAAGCUAUUUUUGGAUUCGUGUUGUAAUUUGUUAAUUUACUUGUGAAAUUGAGUCUAUAUUUUAUUAUGAGUGGCUACACCACCUAGUAUUGAGAAUCCAACAUAAAUGGAUACUGUAAAAGAUAAAAGUUAGCAAAGGUGAGCGUCCAAAAAUUGGGGCCGCAGGGCCAAGUGAGGCUAUGCCAAGCCUGGCUGAGCCCCGCAGGGCCAAGCAAGGCUUGGCUGCCGACAUAGCUUGACAAUAAGGGACUGUUAAUGCUUAGAGGGACUGUUUUGGCGUCAUGUUGAAAUGCGAUAGUAUUUAACGCGUUAGUAUACGGGAAUGAAACUAUAAAUUAUUAUAGAAGCUAUUAGUUAACCAUAUAAAUUGGUUGAGUGGGUGUACAGGCUGAUGUUAAUUUGAAGGUCUACAUGCACAAGAAUUUGGAAUUGUUAUUAACUAAAAGAAAUCAUGUUAGGUUUGCUUUAGUGUUAGGUAGAUCCAAUUGUCUGAUCCUAAGUAGGAUUUUGACAGGCAAUUACAUGGGAUUUCCAUCAAGCAUGGUUUGCUGGAAAAAAAUAAAAAUAAAACCUCAAUUGGAAAUGCAAUAAUAACAAGGUAUGGUAAAUAUGGCUUGGUCGAUAAGGCUGAGCGCAUGUUUUAUGAAAUGAAUAAUAAGAACUUGGUUACUUGGAGUGCUAUGCUAUCAGUAUAUGUCAAAAAUGGAAAUGAUGAUAAGGCCAUAAAUGAGUUUAUGAAAAUAAUGAAAUUUGGAAUUCACUUUGAUUCUAGUUAUUUGGAUUGUGUGCUUGAUGGCUGUUCAGAGAACACAGUAAUUUAGUACUAAUAUUUUUGAUAAUGGUUUUAUAACGAAACGAAAAGUAUGGAACCAUUAAAAAGUUAUAAUAAUCAUAAAAAUGAUGCAAUGAAGAUUUGUGGGGAUCAAAAUGGAGUUUUUGAGCCAAGAUUUAUAUAUACUUAAUAUAUAAAUAUAUAUAGUGAAAAUGUGAAUAUUUGCAAAACGAAAAAUGCAGUAAGUGUGUUAGCGGGAUAGAAUGUUUAUAAAUGAGACAAUGGUCCGAGUUGACUUAUGAGUGGGCAAAAUAAUAAUAUAAAAAUUAUUUAUAUUAAAGGAAUAAUAUAGUAAAUUGAAUUUUACUAUAAAAGCUAUUUAUUAGUUGUUUAAGUCCUGAAUUAAUGAGUAAAGGCAUAAGAUAUUCCUAAAGUGGAAUAUAAAUGAUUGAAACUUCAAAGUGUAAAAUAUUUACAUACUAAAAUGUGAGGGACAUUUGGUGUAAAAAGAUUAAAACGAAUUAAGUUUCUAAACAAAUUAAUAUUCAUUUUGAGUAAGAAUAAAUAAUAUUAGUUUGUAUAAAACUAAUAAUUAUAAUUGAUGAAUAUACAUGCAUGUUUUGUAACAUAUUCAAUUAUCUAAUAUGUGUGUGCAUGUAAAUAUAAUUCUGUAGAAAUUGUGGAGAAAGUCUAGGUUAACUUUUGUGGUAAUCUCCAAUCAAGGCAAGUUUUUCAGUUCUAUUAUGUUUGUGGAUUAAAUCUGACUAUGUGGUGAGUUACAUACAAUGCUUUAUGAAUUGUUAAAGUCAAAAUAUGACUAAGUUAAUUGGGUUAUGGAACUCAAUUUAUACGUGAUAUGUGAUAGCACAUGUUGUAUAAUGUAACUCGAUAAAUUAGAAAUGUAUAAUGCAUUAAUGUAUGCUUUGUAAGGAAUUAUUGUUGCAUUUAGGAUAUGCAUAGUAAAGAAUAUAUGUUGCAUGCAGAUAUGCAUAGUAAAGGAAAUAUAGUGCAUAUGGAAUUGUGUGCUAUGUGAAACAUGAUACACUGUUAAAUUUGCUGGGCUGUCGAGCUCAAUCUUGCGAACACAAAUUUUUUGCAGGUUAAUGAUGUUGAGCGAUAUUACUUGCUAUAUGGAUGAUGAAGAUUGAACUUGCAAAAUGUAUAAAUUUCUUUGAAUUAGAAAUGGUAUAAAUCUAUGAUUGAUAGUUUUGUCAAAUAUAAUUGGUAGUUAUGUAUAGCUUGAAAUGUUGAAUGGAUAAAGAAUGUUUAUUCUGAAACGAGAAUAGAUACUAUUCUAAAAUAAAUGAAUCAUUGAUAGAAAAGAUAUGAAGUAUUGAGACUUAAGCUUUUAAUACGUUUACAAAGAUUAUACAAAUCAUAUAAUAAAUAUGAUUCUAGCAUAAAGAAGAUUUGUAAAGGUUGCGAUUCAGGGAAUGAAUGAAUGGGAAAAAAAAUUUAUUUCGCAUUUUUAGUUAUUUUAACAGUAAAUAAUGUUUUAAAGCUAGAACAGGAUAAUAUUAACGCACAAGAUCAGGAAGGAAAAUAGUCCCGAUUUUGGUGGCGUUACAAUAAAUGGCGACGCUACAUCUUAAUUAAAGUUUAUGAAUAAUUAUGUAAUUUAAAUAAAAACUAAAACAAAACUUUAUCUAACUUAUUUGAAUUUCGAGGACGGAAUUAUUUUUAAGGAGGGAAAAUAUAAUAAUCCAAAAUUUUGUUAAUAAUUAAAUAUUAAUUUUAUUUUUUCUAAAAUUAUUCGAAGCGCGAAGCUACUUGAGAGGCGUAAGAGACUAUUCGGCAAGAGUAUCCUCACCUCGUUAAUGUCAAGUAAAUCUUUGUUACUAUUUUGAUACCGGGGACAAAAUCCUUUUUAAGGGGGAGGUAAUGUAAUACCCGGAAAAGAAAUAAAAUAAAUAAAACUUUAUAUUCUUAAAACAUAUUGUUUGGAAUUUAACUAAGUUGGGCUAAUAAGUGAUGAAUAAUUAACUUAGUAAAAUUGGACUUUUCUUAUGUUUCGCGGUUUUGGUCAAAUUGUAUUUAAUUUAUGUUGACUAUAAUAAGUAUGUGGUUACAUUAAUUUGGGCAUUUAUACUAAUUGGGUCAAACUAAUUUUUAAGUAUUUAAGUUUGGACUUGUUAAAUUAUUUGAGCCCAAAUUAAGGUGAUGGGUUUAAAAAUCAAAUUGGAAUAGGAGUAAUAUAUUAGGUUAAAUUCCUUCCUAACACAUAUACUGACAUAAUCGACUAAAGAGGGUUUCUAACGUAGCGAGAAACGAAAAAAAGGCGGAAGAAGAACGAGGAGAACGAGGGAACGUGACUGGAAUUAAAAAGGGUUUGAGAGCAAGAUCAUUAAAACUGUAUUCACAAUAUUCUUCUUCUCAAAGCUAAUUAUUGGACUAUUUUUUAAUACAAAAUAAUUAUUUUGCUACUGUAAUUAUAAUCUAAUAUUGUUAUUACAAUUAAAAUAUAUCUUUUAAUUACAAAUUGAAUAUAGUAUAUUAAAAUUAUUGAAUUUAUGAAAAUACAAACUGUACAAGUUCAUAAUUUAAUUAAUUAUAUUAUAUUUGUUUUGAUAAUUAGAUCGGAUUGAGGGAGUCUAACGGGUGAUAUUUGGCUUCGGUGAAUUAUUUUGGUACUAUAUUAAGGUACGAAUUUCGUACUCUUUGAGCGAUACUUUUGUUAAAUUUGAUUUGUUCGUUUUGUUUCUCAUUUCGAAUUAUGUUAUUAUUUCACAUAACUAUUUCUUGUGAAAUUCAUAUAUUUGUUUCAUUUUAGAGUUGACACAUUGAACUCGUACUUGUACUCUUUGAAUUAGAUUAUCAUGUCUAGUAUUUAUUUUGAUAUUUAUGGAGCGAUAUGUUUUGUUACCUUCUUUUGGAGACAUUAUGAUUUGAUCUGGUUUAACAUAUACGUUAGAACCCUAUUUUUAUUGGUAUUAUGUCGCAUGUGUUGUGACACAAUACCUAUUUUGAUGGUAUUAUGUCGUAUGUGUUGUGAUAUGAUAUUUUUGUUAUAAUGUACUGUAAGGUAUACUGGAGCUAUAACCAUCUGUGGGGGUACCACAAGGUUGUUUUCUUGGUACGAGAGGUAUGACACUCUCCGUGGCGGUGUGAUUAGUCCACGUCGUCUCUGUUUGGGCUCUGGAGGAAGUGGGCCAUUUGGUGUUUUGUUGCGGGAGGCGUAUGGGUGACCCUAGUUUUAUGUUCUGCGAAUUGGUGAUGUUGUGCCAAACACACCUAUCCGAUUUUUAUACAUUUGGAUUCGUGAUCCAAUGUGUGACUAGUCUGUGUGGCAUUAUUUUGACUUGCAUGUGUGGCAAUAUAUAUUUCUGAGCUCACUCGGUAUGAAAUAACACCCAACCAUUUGAUUCAGCUUAUUAUUUCAUUGUAUAGUUUUGUUUGUUUCUGAUCAGUUUAAUUAAUUGAGUUAGUUUUUUCAGUUCAUUCUUUACUCUUCUAUUUGUUUCUUUAAAUCUAUUGAUUUGGAUAUAUUCUAUUCAGAUUUUGGAUAUCAUAUUUUCAUCGGUCUUUAAGCUUGAGGCUUUGAUAUGUAUGUUGCUUCAGUUGAUUUCGUAUUUCAGUUAUACAUCUUUGUAUUAUCUAUAUACGUAUUGGGUUAUUGGCUCAUGUUGUGUUUUUCUUCCAGCAGGUUUGCAGGGGUGAUUCAGGGUUAGUGUGAUGAGAGAGUUGCCUUUGACCAUCUAAGUUAAUUCAAUUUUAUAUUUUGAUUAAUUUGACUCUGUUUGGAGAAUUGCAUUUAGUACUUUAUUAAUGGAUCACCACUAUUAAUAUUUUGAAGUUAUUAGUGCUAUGUUUACUUAUUAGGGGUCCUCACCUAUAAGACCACGAAAAGUAGGCAGCAAAUGGAUUAAUCCCGAUUUAAGUUCAAAUGCAACAUCUAAAUAAGGAUAUUCAAUGCACAGUGGCU
rnacentral:lncRNA from 1 species